rnacentral:rRNA from 1 species
AACGAACGCUGGCGGCAGGCUUAACACAUGCAAGUCGAACGCCCCGCAAGGGGAGUGGCAGACGGGUGAGUAACGCGUGGGAAUCUACCCAGUUCUACGGAACAACUGAGGGAAACUUCAGCUAAUACCGUAUACGCCCUACGGGGGAAAGAUUUAUCGGAAUUUGAUGAGCCCGCGUUGGAUUAGCUAGUUGGUGAGGUAACGGCUCACCAAGGCGACGAUCCAUGGCUGGUCUGAGAGGAUGAUCAGCCACACUGGGACUGAGACACGGCCCAGACUCCUACGGGAGGCAGCAGUGGGGAAUAUUGGACAAUGGGCGCAAGCCUGAUCCAGCCAUGCCGCGUGAGUGAUGAAGGCCUUAGGGUUGUAAAGCUCUUUCAGUGGGGACGAUAAUGACGGUACCCACAGAAGAAGCCCCGGCUAACUUCGUGCCAGCCGCCGCGGUAAGAC